UCCGGUGGUUAUACCGGAGGGGUCACACCCGUUCCCAUUCCGAACACGGAAGUUAAGCCCUCCCUGGCUGAUGAUACUUGGGCUGCGAGGCCCUGGGAAAGUAAGUAGCUGCCGGAC
rnacentral:rRNA from 1 species